rnacentral:rRNA from 1 species
UUAACUGGGGUAGUUUUUUUGUAAAAUCUGAGGUUGUAAAAGGCAUAUAAAGUGGGGUUAGGUCCUUUAGAUAAGGAUAAUUUGAGUGAGUUACUUUAGGGAUAACAGCGUAAUAGUCCUAGGGAGAUCGUAUCUAUGGGAUUGAUUGCGACCUCGAUGUUGAAUUAAAAGAUCAGUGUAGAGCAGGAGCUACAGGGUGAGGGUUUGUUCAACCUUUAAAUUUUUACAUGAUCAGAGUUCAGACCGGA